rnacentral:rRNA from 1 species
GACGAACGCUGGUGGCGUGCUUAACACAUGCAAGUCGAACGAUGAAGCCGGAGCUUGCUCUGGUGAAUUAGUGGCGAACGGGUGAGUAACACGUGUGCAACCUGCCCCUCACUUCGGGAUAACUCCGGGAAACCGGGGCUAAUACCGGAUAUGACCUCCUUGGGCAUCCUUGGAGGUGGAAAGUUUUUCGGUGAGGGAUGGGCCCGCGGCCUAUCAGCUUGUUGGUGAGGUAGUGGCUCACCAAGGCGACGACGGGUAGCCGGCCUGAGAGGGCGGACGGCCACACUGGGACUGAGAAACGGCCCAGACUCCUACGGGAGGCAGCAGUGGGGAAUAUUGCGCAAUGGGCGAAAGCCUGACGCAGCAACGCCGCGUGCGGGAUGACGGCCUUCGGGUUGUAAACCGCUUUCAGCAGGGAAGAAGCCGCAAGGUGACGGUACCUGCAGAAGAAGCACCGGCUAACUACGUGCCAGCAGCCGCCGCCG